rnacentral:misc_RNA from 1 species
UCGUAACAAGGUUUCCGUAGGUGAACCUGCGGAAGGAUCAUUACCGAGUGCGGGUCUUUAUGGCCCAACCUCCCACCCGUGACUAUUGUACCUUGUUGCUUCGGCGGGCCCGCCAGCGUUGCUGGCCGCCGGGGGGCGACUCGCCCCCGGGCCCGUGCCCGCCGGAGACCCCAACAUGAACCCUGUUCUGAAAGCUUGCAGUCUGAGUGUGAUUCUUUGCAAUCAGUUAAAACUUUCAACAAUGGAUCUCUUGGUUCCGGCAUCGAUGAAGAACGCAGCGAAAUGCGAUAACUAAUGUGAAUUGCAGAAUUCAGUGAAUCAUCGAGUCUUUGAACGCACAUUGCGCCCCCUGGUAUUCCGGGGGGCAUGCCUGUCCGAGCGUCAUUGCUGCCCUCAAGCCCGGCUUGUGUGUUGGGCCCUCGUCCCCCGGGAGCCGGGGGACGGGCCCGAAAGGCAGCGGCGGCACCGCGUCCGGUCCUCGAGCGUAUGGGGCUUCGUCUUCCGCUCCGUAGGCCCGGCCGGCGCCCGCCGACGCAUUUAUUUGCAACUUGUUUUUUUCCAGGUUGACCUCGGAUCAGGUAGGGAUACCCGCUGAACUUAAGCAUAUCAAUAA